rnacentral:misc_RNA from 1 species
UGAUUCAUCAUUUUUCAAUCUUCAUCUUCCUUAACAAAUACACUACAUAUAUAUGUAUACGCACGCGCGCAAGAGGGCGCGCACGAGGGAGAAGAAAUGAGAAAUCUAUAAUCUAAACCCUAAAUUAUUCUUAAAAAAAAACAAAAUUUAAACUUUCAGAUUAUAACAAACCUACAUCGCAAAGCAUCUAAAACCAUCAAAACAUGCUAAAUCCACAUCGCGAGUUCACAUAUUAAACCCACAUCACAAAUAAGUUAAAGAAAAUGGAAAGCAGUGCUAAGAUGACUGCUGAGCAACAAAAGCUACGAAUCACAAAGAAUGAGAUUGGAUAACCCAAAUGACCCACGAAUAGCAGAAUCCAUGAAUCUCAAGUUUCUGUGGCCAAAAGAAGAGUUGAAGAUGGCGAGGCAAGUCUCAGUCAGCGAGGCGAAGCAAUAUCUGCAGCAGACUUUAUGGGAUGGUGAGAGUUGAGGAUGUGGGUCUCUAUUGAUGAGAAAUGAAGAAAGAAAAUGAGGGUGGCCUAGUGGGUGAGAUUAGAGGACUUUAUGGAUGGUAAUAUCUAAA